rnacentral:lncRNA from 7 species
CUAUGACACAUUUUCCUUGUGCUUACAUGCUUCUGGUGUGAAGCAUGGCAACUGCUUUGCACUGCACAGGAGGACUCUGCCAAGGAAGACUAACGUCUGCAUUUGAUUGAACCUGCAGAGGGAAUUAAGGUAAAAGGAAUGUAAAUAUUAGAGUCUAGACAAGAUGCUGGCAGAAAACAUUUGUACUCUUGUGGCAUGUGCCAUGAAACAAUCAUUUGCAGCAAAGGAAAGGCUACACAGAAAAGCAGCGAAGCUAGGUGUUUGCUAGGAGGACACAGGGAAUACAGAGGGAUCCAAAUGCUCAUGCAUGUUGACCACACACUUCUGCAUUGCUUGAAUACCCACACCAAUGUGCAUAUUGAUGUGGUCUGUUGGUAUCUGUCCUUGAAGAAGCGAAUUACCAUGUCAGACCAGGACUACCCGGGGAGACCUCUCUUGUGCAAUGACGUUUCUUUCUUCACCCUCCUCCAGAUCCUGCUCAGAUCCUCCCUGUAAUCUUGCCAUCUCUAUUUGCGACAUCUCUGCUCAGCCUCACCCUGAAUGACGCACUGCCAUUUCUUAGCUCAUUACAUUGUGUGGCUACAAGUUCUGCUGCAAAACUAGCAUGGAAAGAAACAACACAGAAGAAUAACAAGGCUGGUCCAGCCACAAAGGUGGAUAUACAGCUACUAUGAGUCAUGCUUUAAUUUCACAAUAAAGCAACCUUAGAACUUUAUGCUCUAAGAUGCUGAUUAAUUUAAUUUUUAAAUUUCUAAACAAUGCAGGAUGGAGAGAAACAACAAAAAAGAAAACGUGAUCCUCAGUUAUGUUUGUCAAUGGUGUCAAAGGAGCACUGAGAAAGAAGUGACCUUAACUUUUCACUAGAUGACUGUGAUAAACUUAGCAUUUUGCAUGGGUGUGAUGAACUUGGUAUUUAUGCCUCACCUAAACCUUUGAAGAAGUGGUACCAAGCCAUCUACACUCUGUUUGUUUUGCCUUUGCUUUUGCUUUUUUUAAGCUGUAUUAAAUUACCUCCAU